GGGCUGUAGCUCAAUUGGUAGAGCACCGGUCUCCAAAACCGGCUGUUGGGGGUUCGAGUCCCUCCUGG
rnacentral:tRNA from 1 species